GUGUCCCAGUGAAUUUAUGCGCCAAUAUGCGAUAUAUUUGAGGCCGGAUCGAGCAGUUACGCGAAGGAAAUAACCGUCAUUUCGCUUUGAAGUUGACUUUGAGAAUUUCUGUUAGUGUGAGACCUUUUGUUGAGGUUACUCUACGAUUCGACUCGGAAAAUGGAAAGCUUUCCCCCUCCAGAUAAAAAGAAACGUACAGAAAUCAACAAACAUGCAAAUGCACGGCGAGAUCCAGCGGAACGAAACCCACAUUUCAGUCUCACAAUUGAAGUCAAAAAGGAUCAGCGAAGUCGUUUGGAAGCUAUCAAACAGAGGCUAAGCAACACUAAAUCGGCUCUUGGUAUAGAUAGAAAGUCUUCUACCACGCAAAAUGCUGAUUUAAUGGAAAGACUCCUCUCGUAUUUUGAAAUGAUUUGUUCAUCAACUGUGGAAAGUAGCUCUUCAUCCAUCACCAAGAUUGAUGUACUCGACGGGCCGAGAACUGCUCUCUCUCAAUCCGUUCAGCCAUCAUCUAGUUCUGUUGAAGUGCGUGACCGACGACAAACUAGAAAAAGACAGAUCUAUGUGGAUUCUACAUUGGAUGAUGGAUGCUAUGUGUGCACGAAGUCAUCUUUGCAAGCACUGUGUAAAUACUUCAUCACAAAUCCAUUGUGUGAAUUUUGUGGUGAAGAUUACACAUGGGCUUCAGCUACUUUUUCAAGUCAAGGGCACGUUUGUAAGAUUGAAGUUCCCUGUGUGUAAUGACUCAGUUACUUGGCUCAGUUUUGGAGUUUUGGGACACCCUGCAAAGUACUACGCCAAUGUUAGAUGAGUAUAAUAUGUACAUGACCUACUUUGCAGAAUGGUUCCUGCAUUCACAUGUACUGGACUUACUGAAACUCAGUAUCAUGGUUUUACUGAGGCCACUGGCAUUGGCUGUGUGUUGCACAA